rnacentral:rRNA from 1 species
CCUACGGGAGGCAGCAGUGGGGAAUUUUGGACAAUGGGCGCAAGCCUGAUCCAGCCAUGCCGCGUGAGUGAAGAAGGCCUUCGGGUUGUAAAGCUCUUUCGGACGGAAAGAAAUCGCUCUGGUGAACAAUCGGAGUGGAUGACGGUACCGUAAGAAGAAGCACCGGCUAACUACGUGC